GUCCAGACUCCUACGGGAGGCAGCAGUGGGGAAUAUUGCACAAUGGGGGAAACCCUGAUGCAGCGACGCCGCGUGGGCGAUGAAGUAUUUCGGUAUGUAAAGCUCUAUCAGCAGGGAAGAAAAUGACGGUACCUGACUAAGAAGCCCCGGCUAACUACGUGCCAGCAGCCGCGGUAAUACGUAGGUGGCAAGCGUUGUCCGGAUUUACUGGGUGUAAAGGGCGUGUAGCCGGGUUGACAAGUCAGAUGUGAAAUCCUGCGGCUUAACCGCAGAACUGCAUUUGAAACUGUUGAUCUUGAGUACUGGAGAGGCAGACGGAAUUCCUAGUGUAGCGGUGAAAUGCGUAGAUAUUAGGAGGAACACCAGUGGCGAAGGCGGCCUGCUGGGCUUUAACUGACGCUGAGGCUCGAAAGCGUGGGGAGCAAACAGGAUUAGAUACCCCAGUAAU
rnacentral:rRNA from 1 species